UUCAGGCCCAAGUUGUUUUACAAGGCAAAUCCAGAAGUGUCAUUAUUCGAGAACUUCAGAGAACAAAUCUUGAUGUGAACCUUGCUGUAAAUAAUUUACUUAGCCGGGAUGAUGAAGAUGGAGAUGAUGGGGAUGAUACAGCCAGCGAAUCUUAUUUGCCUGGAGAGGAUCUUAUGUCUCUCCUUGAUGCCGACAUUCAUUCUGCCCACCCAAGUGUCAUUAUUGAUGCGGAUGCCAUGUUUUCUGAAGACAUUAGCUAUUUUUGGUUACCCUUCUUUUCGUCGUUCAUCAC
rnacentral:lncRNA from 1 species